rnacentral:rRNA from 1 species
CCUUUCCUACGGGGCGCAGCAGUGGGGGAUAUUGCACAAUGGGGGAAACCCUGAUGCAGCGACGCCGCGUGUGGGAAGACGGUCUUCUGGAUUGUAAACCACUGUCCCCAGGGACGAAAAUGACGGUACCUGAAUAAGAAGCCCCGGCUAACUACGUGCCAGCAGCCGCGGUAAUACGUAGGGGGCAAGCGUUAUCCGGAUUUACUGGGUGUAAAGGGAGCGCAGACGGCAGUGCAAGUCUGGAGUGAAAGCCCGGGGCCCAACCCCGGAACUGCUCUGGAAACUGUGCGGCUAGAGUACUGGAG